rnacentral:rRNA from 1 species
GAUGAACGCUGGCGGCGUGCCUAAUACAUGCAAGUCGAGCGAACGGACGAGAAGCUUGCUUCUCUGAUGUUAGCGGCGGACGGGUGAGUAACACGUGGAUAGCCUACCUAUAAGACUGGGAUAACUUCGGGAAACAGGAGCUAAUAUCGGAUAAUAUUUUGAACCGCAUGGUUCAAAAGUGAAAGACGGUCUUGCCGUCACUUAUAGAUGGAUCCGCGCUGCAUUAGCUAGUUGGUAAGGUAACGGCUUACCAAGGCAACGAUGCAUAGCCGACCUGAGAGGGUGAUCGGCCACACUGGAACUGAGACACGGUCCAGACUCCUACGGGAGGCAGCAGUAGGGAAUCUUCCGCAAUGGGCGAAAGCCUGACGGAGCAACGCCGCGUGAGUGAUGAAGGUCUUCGGAUCGUAAAACUCUGUUAUUAGGGAAGAACAUAUGUGUAAGUAACUGUGCACAUCUUGACGGUACCUAAUCAGAAAGCCACGGCUAACUACGUG